CCCUUAGAUGUCCUGGGCCGCACGCGCGCUACACUGACAUGUUCAACAAGUUUCUCCUAGUUCGACAGGACUGGGAAAUCUUUGAACGCAUGUCGUGAUAGGGAUAGAUCAUUGCAAUUAUUGAUCUUGAACGAGGAAUUCCUAGUAAACGCGAGUCAUCAGCUCGCAUUGAUUACGUCCCUGCCCUUUGUACACACCGCCCGUCGCACCUACCGAUUGAAUGGUUUAGUGAGGCCUUCGGAUCCGCGACUCGUUUUGUGGAGAAGUUGGACAAACUCAGUCAUUUAGAGGAAGUAAAAGUCGUAACA
rnacentral:rRNA from 1 species